rnacentral:lncRNA from 1 species
UGUUGGACAGCUUAAGCACCCCCACAUUUACCAUGUUGUCUGGGUGACUCUCAUUCCCAGUCUCUGAACUAUUCUUAAUCCAAAGAUCUUCCUAUCCAGAAGGGAGACUAGAAGUUGAGCUGCUUAGAGGAGUACUGCAAACUGCAAACCUGCUCUUCUGGCUCAGGUGGAGACUACUGCAGACAGGAAUACUUUGCUUUUGCCAAGAGAGGAUUUUGGCUUCAGCCUCCAUUUUGCUAUUGUUUUUCCAACUGUGAACUCUUGACACUCUCACAAAAAUCUGAAGGUAAACUUUUUUAAUUGUUAUUUUAAAAUGUGAGAUCUUUAAGCUUCUUUCAGUGUUCAAAAAUAUGGUUAAUGUACGGUCUUCGUUUUCUUACAAUACCUACCUGCCCUGAAAAGACAGGUAGGCUGAAAUUCUAUUUUCUUCUAUGUA